CCCUUAGAUGUUCUGGGCUGCACGCGCGCUACACUGAUACUUUCAGCGAGUCCACCACCUUGCCUGAGAGGGUGGGGUAACCUCUGGAAAGUGUAUCGUGAUGGGGAUCGAUUAUUGUAAUUAUUAAUCUUCAACGAGGAAUUCCUAGUAAGCAUGUGUCAUCAGCCCGUGCUGAUUACGUCCCUGCCCUUUGUACACACCGCCCGUCGCUCCUACCGAUUUUGAGUGGUCCGGUGAACCUUCUGGAUUGUGCGGCUUGCCGCGCGAGAAGUUAUGUAAACCUUAUCACUUAGAGGAAGGAGAAGUCGUAACA
rnacentral:rRNA from 1 species